rnacentral:rRNA from 1 species
GUGGGGAAUAUUGGACAAUGGGGGGAACCCUGAUCCAGCCAUGCCGCGUGUGUGAAGAAGGCCUUUUGGUUGUAAAGCACUUUAAGCGAGGAGGAGGCUACCGAGAUUAAUACUCUUGGAUAGUGGACGUUACUCGCAGAAUAAGCACCGGCUAACUCUGUGCCAGCAGCCGCGGUAAUACAGAGGGUGCAAGCGUUAAUCGGAUUUACUGGGCGUAAAGCGCGCGUAGGUGGCCAAUUAAGUCAAAUGUGAAAUCCCCGAGCUUAACUUGGGAAUUGCAUUCGAUACUGGUUGGCUAGAGUAUGGGAGAGGAUGGUAGAAUUCCAGGUGUAGCGGUGAAAUGCGUAGAGAUCUGGAGGAAUACCGAUGGCGAAGGCAGCCAUCUGGCCUAAUACUGACGCUCAGGCACGAAAGCGUGGGGAGCAAACAGGAUUAGAAACCCCCGGUAGUCC